UCGGAUACGGGUUUUAGAUGUCUGACCCGUUUAAACCGUUUAACCCGUUUAACUGUUGGGCAGGUUAAACAGGACUAAACAGGUUAAACGGGUCUAAAUAGGUUAAACGGGUCUAAACAGGUCUAAACAGGUCGGGUUGGGCAGGUUAAACAGGUCUAAACAGGUUAAACGGAUCAGGUUAGGCAAACAGGUUAAAUAGGUCGGGUCGGAUUGGGUAAACAGGUUGCAUGUUUAUUAAACAGGUUAAACAGGUCGGAUCGGGUUACCUGUUUAAUAAACAGGUCAGGUUCAGGUUGUAAUUUCGGACCUGUUUAAUAAACAGGUCGGGUUCAGGUUUAUGAUUUUCUGACCCGACCUGUAUGUGACCCGACCCGUUUAUGAUCUGAUCCGACCCGAUUGCCACCCCUAGCAUGACAUAUACCAUGUGACAGGAGGACACACUAGCAACUUUGUACACUUAAAACAGUCAAAAUUCAAACAUAGCUAUCAAGAUUCUUGUUCACAAAACCACCACCCUAGAUAUCAAAAUUUUAGCAGCUAAUCAAGGCCCAUAGGUAUAAUCUUUUUUGGAUGUACGGCCUGUAGGUAGAAUCAGCAGCAAAAUGUGCUACAUACAGAGAGAUCUGAGGCAUG
rnacentral:lncRNA from 1 species